CAGUCGCCGCGGUAAUACCGAGGGUGCAAGCGUUAAUCGGAAUUACUGGGCGUAAAGCGCGCGUAUGUGGUUUGUUAAGUUGGAUGUGAAAGCCCCGGGCUCAACCUGGGAACUGCAUCCAAAACUGGCAAGCUAGAGUACGGUAGAGGGUGGUGGAAUUUCCUGUGUAGCGGUGAAAUGCGUAGAUAUAGGAAGGAACACCAGUGGCGAAGGCGACCACCUGGACUGAUACUGACACUGAGGUGCGAAAGCGUGGGGAGCAAACAGGAUUAGAGACCCCUGUAGUCCAUGUCUCUUAUAC
rnacentral:rRNA from 1 species